rnacentral:tRNA from 1 species
UGCGGGGUAGGCCAGCAGCAAGGCCGCCAGUCUCAUACGCUGGAAAUCCUGGGUGCGAGUCCCAGCCCCGCUA